CUUGUACUCCCUCCGUCCGAAAAUACUUGUCAUUGAAAUGGAUGUAUCUAGAUGUAUUUUAGUUGUAGACACAUCCAUUUUGAUGACAAGUAAUUCCGGACGGAGGGAGUACUUG
rnacentral:pre_miRNA from 1 species